CGGUGGAUGCCUUGGCAUUAAGAGCCGAUGAAGGACGUGUGAAUCUGCGAUAAGCCUCGGGGAGCCGAUAACUGGGCGUGGAUCCGAGGAUUUCCGAAUGGGGAAACCUCGCUCAUCGUUUUGGUGGGUGACCGCUGGUUGAAUGUAUAGGCCAGUUGGGGGGAACGCGGGGAAGUGAAACAUCUCAGUACCCGCAGGAAGAGAAAAUAAUAAUGAUUCUGUUAGUAGUGGCGAGCGAACGCGGAUGAGGCUAAACCUGUG
rnacentral:rRNA from 1 species